UACAGAGGUCCCAAGCGUUGUUCGGAUUCACUGGGCGUAAAGGGGUGCGUAGGUGGUGGGGUAAGUCGGAUGUGAAAGCUCGGAGCUCAACUCCGAAAUGGCAUUGGAAACUACCCUGCUAGAGGAUUGGAGGGGGGACUGGAAUACUUGGUGUAGCAGUGAAAUGCGUAGAUAUCAAGUGGAACACCAGUGGCGAAAGGCGAGUCCCUGGACAAUACCUGACACUGAGGCACGAAAGCUAGGGGAGCAAACAGG
rnacentral:rRNA from 1 species